UUAAGCGACUAAGCGUACACGGUGGAUGCCCUGGCAGUCAGAGGCGAUGAAGGACGUGCUAAUCUGCGAUAAGCGUCGGUAAGGUGAUAUGAACCGUUAUAACCGGCGAUUUCCGAAUGGGGAAACCCAGUGUGAUCCGUCACACUAUCAUUAACUGAAUCCAUAGGUUAAUGAGGCGAACCGGGGGAACUGAAACAUCUAAGUACCCCGAGGAAAAGAAAUCAACCGAGAUUCCCCCAGUAGCGGCGAGCGAACGGGGAGGAGCCCAGAGCCUGAAUCAGUGUGUGUGUUAGUGGAAGCGUCUGGAAAGGCGUGCGAUACAGGGUGACAGCCCCGUACACAAAAAUGCACAUGCUGUGAGCUCGAUGAGUAGGGCGGGACACGUGGUAUCCUGUCUGAAUAUGGGGGGACCAUCCUCCAAGGCUAAAUACUCCUGACUGACCGAUAGUGAACCAGUACCGUGAGGGAAAGGCGAAAAGAACCCCGGCGAGGGGAGUGAAAAAGAACCUGAAACCGUGUACGUACAAGCAGUGGGAGCCUCUUUAAUGGGGUGACUGCGUACCUUUUGUAUAAUGGGUCAGCGACUUAUAUUCUGUAGCAAGGUUAACCGAAUAGGGGAGCCGAAGGGAAACCGAGUCUUAACUGGGCGUUAAGUUGCAGGGUAUAGACCCGAAACCCGGUGAUCUAGCCAUGGGCAGGUUGAAGGUUGGGUAACACUAACUGGAGGACCGAACCGACUAAUGUUGAAAAAUUAGCGGAUGACUUGUGGCUGGGGGUGAAAGGCCAAUCAAACCGGGAGAUAGCUGGUUCUCCCCGAAAGCUAUUUAGGUAGCGCCUCGUGAAUUCAUCUCCGGGGGUAGAGCACUGUUUCGGCAAGGGGGUCAUCCCGACUUACCAACCCGAUGCAAACUGCGAAUACCGGAGAAUGUUAUCACGGGAGACACACGGCGGGUGCUAACGUCCGUCGUGAAGAGGGAAACAACCCAGACCGCCAGCUAAGGUCCCAAAGUCAUGGUUAAGUGGGAAACGAUGUGGGAAGGCCCAGACAGCCAGGAUGUUGGCUUAGAAGCAGCCAUCAUUUAAAGAAAGCGUAAUAGCUCACUGGUCGAGUCGGCCUGCGCGGAAGAUGUAACGGGGCUAAACCAUGCACCGAAGCUGCGGCAGCGACACUAUGUGUUGUUGGGUAGGGGAGCGUUCUGUAAGCCGUUGAAGGUGUGCUGUGAGGCAUGCUGGAGGUAUCAGAAGUGCGAAUGCUGACAUAAGUAACGAUAAAGCGGGUGAAAAGCCCGCUCGCCGGAAGACCAAGGGUUCCUGUCCAACGUUAAUCGGGGCAGGGUGAGUCGACCCCUAAGGCGAGGCCGAAAGGCGUAGUCGAUGGGAAACAGGUUAAUAUUCCUGUACUUGGUGUUACUGCGAAGGGGGGACGGAGAAGGCUAUGUUGGCCGGGCGACGGUUGUCCCGGUUUAAGCGUGUAGGCUGAUUUUCCAGGCAAAUCCGGAGAAUCAAGGCUGAGGCGUGAUGACGAGGCACUACGGUGCUGAAGCAACAAAUGCCCUGCUUCCAGGAAAAGCCUCUAAGCAUCAGGUAACAUCAAAUCGUACCCCAAACCGACACAGGUGGUCAGGUAGAGAAUACCAAGGCGCUUGAGAGAACUCGGGUGAAGGAACUAGGCAAAAUGGUGCCGUAACUUCGGGAGAAGGCACGCUGAUAUGUAGGUGAAGCGACUUGCUCGUGGAGCUGAAAUCAGUCGAAGAUACCAGCUGGCUGCAACUGUUUAUUAAAAACACAGCACUGUGCAAACACGAAAGUGGACGUAUACGGUGUGACGCCUGCCCGGUGCCGGAAGGUUAAUUGAUGGGGUCAGCCGCAAGGCGAAGCUCUUGAUCGAAGCCCCGGUAAACGGCGGCCGUAACUAUAACGGUCCUAAGGUAGCGAAAUUCCUUGUCGGGUAAGUUCCGACCUGCACGAAUGGCGUAAUGAUGGCCAGGCUGUCUCCACCCGAGACUCAGUGAAAUUGAACUCGCUGUGAAGAUGCAGUGUACCCGCGGCAAGACGGAAAGACCCCGUGAACCUUUACUAUAGCUUGACACUGAACAUUGAGCCUUGAUGUGUAGGAUAGGUGGGAGGCUUUGAAGUGUGGACGCCAGUCUGCAUGGAGCCGACCUUGAAAUACCACCCUUUAAUGUUUGAUGUUCUAACGUGGACCCGUGAUCCGGGUUGCGGACAGUGUCUGGUGGGUAGUUUGACUGGGGCGGUCUCCUCCUAAAGAGUAACGGAGGAGCACGAAGGUUGGCUAAUCCUGGUCGGACAUCAGGAGGUUAGUGCAAUGGCAUAAGCCAGCUUGACUGCGAGCGUGACGGCGCGAGCAGGUGCGAAAGCAGGUCAUAGUGAUCCGGUGGUUCUGAAUGGAAGGGCCAUCGCUCAACGGAUAAAAGGUACUCCGGGGAUAACAGGCUGAUACCGCCCAAGAGUUCAUAUCGACGGCGGUGUUUGGCACCUCGAUGUCGGCUCAUCACAUCCUGGGGCUGAAGUAGGUCCCAAGGGUAUGGCUGUUCGCCAUUUAAAGUGGUACGCGAGCUGGGUUUAGAACGUCGUGAGACAGUUCGGUCCCUAUCUGCCGUGGGCGCUGGAGAACUGAGGGGGGCUGCUCCUAGUACGAGAGGACCGGAGUGGACGCAUCACUGGUGUUCGGGUUGUCAUGCCAAUGGCACUGCCCGGUAGCUAAAUGCGGAAGAGAUAAGUGCUGAAAGCAUCUAAGCACGAAACUUGCCCCGAGAUGAGUUCUCCCUGAGACUUUAAGUCUCCUGAAGGAACGUUGAAGACGACGACGUUGAUAGGCCGGGUGUGUAAGCGCAGCGAUGCGUUGAGCUAACCGGUACUAAUGAACCGUGAGGCUUAACCUU
rnacentral:rRNA from 1 species